GACGAACGCUGGCGGCGUGCUUAACACAUGCAAGUCGAGCGGAAAGGCUCCUUCGGGGGUACUCGAGCGGCGAACGGGUGAGUAACACGUGAGUAAUCUGCCCUGGACUCUGGGACAGCCACCGGAAACGGUGAUUAAUUCCGGAUAUGACCACUAUCCGCAUGGGUUGGUGGUGGAAAGUUUUUUCGGUUCAGGAUGUGCUCGCGGCCUAUCAGCUUGUUGGUGAGGUAAUGGCUCACCAAGGCUUUGACGGGUAGCCGGCCUGAGAGGGUGACCGGUCACACUGGGACUGAGACACGGACCAGACUCCUACGGGAGGCAGCAGUGGGGAAUAUUGGACAAUGGGCGGAAGCCUGAUCCAGCAACGCCGCGUGAGGGAUGACGGCCUUCGGGUUGUAAACCUCUUUCAGUACCGACGAAGCGAGAGUGACGGUAGGUACAGAAGAAGGACCGGCCAACUACGUGCCAGCCGCCGCGGUAAAAC
rnacentral:rRNA from 1 species